AUGAGCUGCAUAAGCUGGAACUGCCGGGGGCUUGGGAACCCCGAGGCAGUUCAAGAGCUUCGCAAUAUUGUGAAGCAAGAGUUACCCCUCCUACUCUUUGUCAUGGAAGCUAAAAUAUCAGCGAAAAGAGUAGAGAGCCUGCAACAUUCGAUGGGAUUUGCAGGAUGUUUUGCAGUCAGUAGCACGGGAUUGAGCGGCGGCAUCGGACUAUUUUGGUCCCAGGAUGUGGACGUCGAGCUCAAAAACUUCAGUUCCGCCCACAUUGAUGUGUUGGUGCGGAGGACAGAUCAAGUUUCGCCAAUAUGA
rnacentral:rRNA from 1 species